CACUGUGUUGAUUUGCUACCUUGUAGUGGACUAAUCAGUUAGGAAACUGAUUAUUUAAAUGUGAGCACAAUUUAGAAAUCCAGGGACAGGCUUCAACAUGCUGUGAUACUGAAAAGGGCUGAGCCAUGGCCAAUAUUCAGAUCCGCAAAUAUCGGGAAGAUGACGCAGAGGUCGUGAAGGAGCUCUUCGCCAUGGGGAUGAACGAGCACGUGCCUUCAUGCUUCAUGCACAUUCUGAAA